UGCGUAGGUGGUCUCGUGUGUCGGAUGUGAAAUCCCGUGGCUCAACUGCGGAACUGCAUUCGAAACUGCGGGACUAGAGUACAGGAAGGGAGAGCGGAAUUCUUGGUGUAGCGGUGAAAUGCGUUGAUAUCAAGAGGAACACCGGUGGCGAAGGCGGCUCUCUGGAAUGUUACUGACACUGAGGCACGAAAGCUGGGGGAGCAAACAGGAUUAGAUACCCUGGUAGUCC
rnacentral:rRNA from 1 species